CCGAACUUCCGCACCGCCGGUUCCUCAUCUUUCUCGGAAACGGCGUCGUUUUCGUCUUCAUCAGAGUCGGAUUCGGCGGCGAAGGGGCGGAGGAAGGAGGAGGAGGUGGGGGUGAAGCGCGGGGAGGGGCCGACGAAGGAGUGGGAGCGGUUGUGGAUGACUAGCAAAGGCGGCGGCGCGGCGUCGCUGGAGGCGGUUGGGGGGCCGAAGACGUCGUUGAAGUCGAAGUCUUGAGGCGGAGAUGAGGAGGAGGAGGAAGGCGGGAUUGUGAGGUUGGUGAGCCUUGCGGCGAGGAG
rnacentral:lncRNA from 1 species